UUUACACUGCAAAAGCUAUUUGAGAGGUACCUCUUGAGUUGGAACAGGUUACUUGGUGUGGCAAGAAUUCAUAAAACGUUCUUAGAAGUUUUCAUUUUUGUCUUAGUAAGAGGAAGUCAAAACAAACAUUUUCAGCCGUGUAAACCAUGUACUUUAAAUAUUGUUCCCUGUGUCGUGUCUGGUGUGUUUGUGUGUGUGUGUUGUUUUUUUUUUCCAAAAGCACAAAACCAUUAAUCGAGUAGGUUAGUACACAGGAGAAAAAUGGAUGAGGAGAAGAGGAAAAAGCUGUGCAUUUGUACAAGAGCGUUGCCUACAUUCUUUGUUCGCUCCAGUGAUGCACUUGUGCCUUCCGUCACUCAGUACUGCAAUAUUUUCUAUUUAAGCUUAGUUUUGUAGUUCCUUUUAAAAAGGCAGUUAAUGAUCACAGUCACUUGAGGAUUGGAUUACAUGGAUUAUGUUCUCAUUUUGUUUCUUUCUGACAGGCCAUUUCUGGUCGUUUUUCCCUGUUCUGUCGAAUCCCAAGUGCCCCUGAAUGCAGCCCAUUGGUUUUGGGAUGUGGAGAGCCAUAUGUGCAGCCCCACUUCUCUAAGACGGCACUCGACUGGGCAGUGA
rnacentral:lncRNA from 1 species